CGCUGUCAAAUCGCCAUGAUGAAAAUCAACAGAGAAGAUUACAGAAGAAUUAAGGUAACCUACAUCUCUUUCCAGUUUCAGCUUCCUCCAACAAUCCACCAUGACGAGGACUCUGGCUAUCCUAGUACUCUUGUUUGGAGUGUCACUUGCUCUCUUCAAUGGUAUGAAUAGAAAUGGUUUCAACAACAAUGGGUUUAAUAAUAAUGGUUGGAACAACAAUGGGUUUAAUAAUGGUUGGAACAACAACGGUUGGAAUAACAAUGGUUGGAAUGGUUGGAAUAACAACGGUUGGAAUAACAAUGGUUGGAAUAACAAUGGCUGGAACAAUAAUGGCAUGGGGAGAAUGAUGUACGGCUAGGGAAAUUGAGAGCAUUGAUAACAAACAAAUAAAGGUUGUUCUACAGAGUCUUCAAAGUGUUCAAAAAGAUUAAUUCUGAAUAAAUGAUUUCAAA